GGCGCUGGGCCUAAAUGCAGUCGAGCGAGAACAGUCCUUCGGGACUGGGGAAAGCGGCGAACGGGUGAGUAACACGUGGGUAAUCUGCCCUCGGUACUGGGAUAGCCCGGGGAAACCCGGAUUAAUACCGGAUAGCCUUUCGAGUCUUCGGAUUCGUCAGAAAAGGUGGCUUCGGCUACCGACUGAGGAUGAGCCCGCGGCGGAUUAGCUUGUUGGUGUGGGUAAUGGCCCACCAAGGCGACGAUCCGUAGCUGGUCUGAGAGGACGAUCAGCCACACUGGGACUGAGACACGGCCCAGACUCCUACGGGAGGCAGCAGUGGGGAAUCUUGCGCAAUGAGCGAAAGCUUGACGCAGCGACGCCGCGUGCGGGAAGAAGGCCUUCGGGUUGUAAACCGCUUUCAGGAGGGACGAAGCCACUCGGGUUAAUACCCCAGAGGGUGACGGUACCUCCAGAAGAAGCCCCGGCCAACUACGUGCCAGCAGCCGCGGUAAUACGUAGGGGGCAAGCGUUGUCCGGAUUUAUUGGGCGUAAAGAGCGUGUAGGCGGCCAGGUAGGUCGGCUGUGAAAACUCGAGGCUCAACCUCGAGCUGUCGGCCGAAACCAUCUGGCUAGAGUCCGGAAGAGGAGAAUGGAAUUCCCGGUGUAGCGGUGAAAUGCGCAAAUAUCGGGAAGAACACCCGUGGCGAAGGCGGUUCUCUGGGACGGUACUGACGCUGAGACGCGAAAGCGUGGGGAGCGAACAGGAUUAAAUACCCUGGUAGUCCACCCCGUAAACGAUGGGAACUAGGUGUGGGCGGUGUUCACUCCGUCCGUGGCGAAACUAACGCAUUUAGUUCCCCCCCCUGG
rnacentral:rRNA from 1 species